rnacentral:rRNA from 1 species
AUUGAACGCUGGCGGCAGGCCUAACACAUGCAAGUAGAACGAGUGGCGGACGGGUGAGUAGUGUCUGGGAAACUGCCUGAUGGAGGGGGAUAACUACUGGAAACGGUAGCUAAUACCGCAUACCAUCGGAUGUGCCCAGAUGGGAUUCGCUUGUUGGUGGGGUAACGGCUCACCAAGGCGACGAUCCCUAGCUGGUCUGAGAGGAUGACCAGCCAGACUGGAACUUAGACACGGUCCAGACACCUACGGGAGGUCGAAGUGGGGAAUAUUGCACAAUGGGGGGAAGCCUGAUGCAGCCAUGCCGAGGGUAUGAAGAAGGCAUUCGAGUUGUAAAGUAAUUUCAGCGGAGAGGCGUUACCCGCAGAAGAAUCACCGGCUAACUCCGUGCCAGCAGCCACGGUAAUAC